AGUGAACGCUGGCGGUAGGCCUAACACAUGCAAGUCGAACGGCAGCACAGUAAGAGCUUGCUCUUACGGGUGGCGAGUGGCGGACGGGUGAGGAAUACAUCGGAAUCUACUUUUUCGUGGGGGAUAACGUAGGGAAACUUACGCUAAUACCGCGUACGACCUACGGGUGAAAGCAGUGGAUCUUCGGACCUUGCGCGAUUGAAUGAGCCGAUGUCGGAUUAGCUAGUUGGCGGGGUAAAGGCCCACCAAGGCGACGAUGCGUAGCUGGUCUGAGAGGAUGAUCGGCCACACUGGAACUGAGACACGGUCCAGACUCCUACGGGAGGCAGCAGUGGGGAAUAUUGGACAAUGGGCGCAAGCCUGAUCCAGCCAUACCGCGUGGGUGAAGAAGGCCUUCGGGUUGUAAAGCCCUUUUGGUGGGAAAGAAAAGCAGCGGGUUAAUACCCCGCUGUUCUGACGGUACCCAAAGAAUAAGCACCGGCUAACUUCGUG
rnacentral:rRNA from 1 species